rnacentral:misc_RNA from 1 species
UUAUGAGAUGUACAUUAACAUCUACAGAGGAAAAUACAGACAAUGUGAGGCCAGCAGUAAACAUCUUUAGAGCUAUAAAAUAAUGAACCUCAAAACUUUAUGUUAUAACAAAAAAUGCAAAACAAUGACCGAAUUCGCGGAACGAAAAGGCAUAGUAAUACAGAGAGGUAUAUAGCCUUGACAAGCAAUUCUACAUUUGUAUCAAUCGAUAACUAAUGACGAAAUAAGUUUGUUUUACGUCAUUUCUUGGGACCGUCUUACACAACGACUAACCUUUUUCUUGAAUUCAUCUCUAUUGUCUCUCCAUUCCUUAGCUGCUUCGACAUUAGCAGGAGACUCAUCAUUAGGACUUGAAAG